UAAGUCGAACCCAGAAGUUCGAUUUCCAGCCGUCGAACUAGCGGGUAAGUGUAGCCAAGGCCUUACAAAAAGAACUGUCUCUAGGAGAAGGAAAACUCUGAUUUCAAAUGAGGACAGACAGUGAUCGCUUAGCCUCUUCAGGCAAGUGUAUCAAGGAGAAGGAAACUCUGCUUUCAAAUCUGAGCAGUCCAAACUCAUUAGCCUUGGAAGAAGCAUCAAAAGAGGAAGAGAACCAUGGAUUGUACCAACAGUUGGAUGCCACUGUAGAUGAGAUUCCUGAUCGUUAUAAGAUCCUGAUAAUGGGAGAUACGAAUGCAAGGUUAGUAAUGGAUAUGGUUAGCAAAAGAACAGUGUUGGACCGCAUGGCAUUGGGAUGACAAACCAUAUGAAGAAAGGUUAAUGCUAUGAGAUGCACAAUCUGGUUAUUGGUGGUACUUGGUUACAAAUGACAUGCACAAGGUUACAUGGAAUUCAUCAGAUGGUCAAACCAAAAACCAGACUGACCACAUUAUUAUCAGUAAAAGGGAUAGAUGGUCACGGUAGGAUGUUAGUCUAUAGAAGCACCAAGUGUAGCUGUGAUUAACUUAAUCCUUCCAAAUAGUAGUUCAAGUCCAAGAAAAAGAUGGGUGCAACUGGAGCCAAAUUUGACCUUGAUAAAUUAAAGGAUAGCAGGGCGGUGACACUUGGAGGGUCAUUAAUUUGCUAUG
rnacentral:lncRNA from 1 species